rnacentral:rRNA from 1 species
AGUGAACGCUGGCGGUAGGCCUAACACAUGCAAGUCGAACGGCAGCACAGUAAGAGCUUGCUCUUACGGGUGGCGAGUGGCGGACGGGUGAGGAAUACAUCGGAAUCUACUUUUUCGUGGGGGAUAACGUAGGGAAACUUACGCUAAUACCGCAUACGACCUACGGGUGAAAGCAGGGGAUCUUCGGACCUUGCGCGAUUGAAUGAGCCGAUGUCGGAUUGGCUAGUUGGCGGGGUAAAGGCCCACCAAGGCGACGAUCCGUAGCUGGUCUGAGAGGAUGAUCAACCACACUGGAACUGAGACACGGUCCAGACUCCUACGGGAGGCAGCAGUGGGGAAUAUUGGACAAUGGGCGCAAGCCUGAUCCAGCCAUACCGCGUGGGUGAAGAAGGCCUUCGGGUUGUAAAGCCCUUUUGUUGGGAAAGAAAAGCAGCAGGUUAAUACCCCGCUGUUCUGACGGUACCCAAAGAAUAAGCACCGGCUAACUUCGUG